AUUGAACGCUGGCGGCAUGCUUUACACAUGCAAGUCGAACGGCAGCACGGGGGCAACCCUGGUGGCGAGUGGCGAACGGGUGAGUAAUACAUCGGAACGUGUCAUAAAGAGGGGGAUAACGCAUCGAAAGAUGUGCUAAUACCGCAUAUUCUCUAAGGAGGAAAGCAGGGGAUCGCAAGACCUUGCGCUUUUUGAGCGGCCGAUGCCUGAUUAGCUAGUUGGUAAGGUAAAGGCUUACCAAGGCAACGAUCAGUAGCUGGUCUGAGAGGACGACCAGCCACACUGGGACUGAGACACGGCCCAGACUCCUACGGGAGGCAGCAGUGGGGAAUUUUGGACAAUGGGCGAAAGCCUGAUCCAGCCAUGCCGCGUGAGUGAAGAAGGCC
rnacentral:rRNA from 1 species